rnacentral:rRNA from 1 species
GUCGUAACAAGGUUUCCGUAGGUGAGCCUGCGGAAGGAUCAUUA